CCAUGUCCUUGCGGUUAGCAGAUGCAUUGGUUUUGCAACAAAAGGCUAAACAAGCCUGAAAGGAAACCAUGAGUCUGACCUUGGAAGAUUUCAUGUUCUCAAGCUCACUGAGUCAUCAGUGAAUUUAUGAGCCAGGUGAGGAAUUUCCAGAGACCAGAUGUCCCAAAACAUGACUUUGGAAGAAAGGGAGAAGAAAAGGGGUUGAAUACCACCAGUCUUCAGAUCUGGGAACAUUCUCUCAAACUCCCACCAUGCCUAAGAUCUGUUGGCUAGAAAGUUCGGGACUGAAGUCCAGGCCCCAGUGUCCUUCACGGUGCUGUUUUACAGAUCAGCGCUUUCCAAAAGAACUCUGCACAGUGAUGAAAAUGUUCUAUAUUUGCACUAUCCAGUGUGUCAACUACCAGUCACAUGUGCAGAUGGAACACUUGAAUUGUGGCCUCUGUGACUCUGGAACUGAAUGUCUAGUUGUAAAAUAAACUUGUAGCUGGUGACUCCCAUACUGGACAGAGUGCGUCAAACCUAUGCCCGGGAGUAUGUGUGUGAUCCAGAUCCACAACAAACAAAUCUCUAUCCAAAGCAACUGCAUUUGGCACCACUUGUUUUCAACAAGUAGAACCUGGAUGGAGGCUAUACAGCUAGUCCUCAGAGUCAGCUGGGGGUGCUGACCUGCAUCCCUGGGAAGGGAAGGGGACACCGAGACAACACCGAUACUGAAAAGAAGAAAACUAGAAAUAAGACUUAAAAUCUGAUCUCAAUCAGAUCCACGCAGGUGGAGAGGUAUGAAAUGCUGUUUCUUCUCAAGAGGCGUGUGAUGGAAGAAAUUUGUCAUCAGACUGGAGCUCUCCAGAGCCCUUUGUGUGAAGACAUGGUCCCAAAAUCUGACUUGAGGUUUAACUGAAUCUAGAAACUGUUCAAGCACCAUGGCAUGGGACAUUCAUCAGGGGUGCGUAAAUGGGCUUUAAUUGAUCAUAAGACAGAACAUUGGAUUUGUUCUCUGGAAGAUGUACUCUUAACAGAUGAGGAUACAGUGUGUGUAUGUGUGUGCGUGUGGGUGUUUCUUUUCUUUCCUCCUUCAUGUUCCUACCAGUCAAACUUUGUCAGCAAGAACUCUCCCAGUCAAGAGAUACAGCCCAGCCUCACACUACCUAUAGAGGGGUGCAUGGUGUCUCCUCUUUCUGGGAUUGGUUUAAAUGAACUGUUAUGUUCCAGGGAUAGCUGUUUGAAAAAAAAAACCUGACAGUUAAGGUUAGCUCCCAACAGCUAUCUUUGCUGAG